rnacentral:lncRNA from 10 species
AUGCGCAGUGCUGCCCCUUGGUCCGGCGACGGAAGCUUCCUCAUUAACUCUUAAGUACUCCACGCUUCUGAAACGGGCGUAGGCACAGCGUCAGUUCUGUACAGUGCGGACGCAGCAGGACAGAAUCUCCCUGGGCAUCUUUCUGGAGCAUCAGUUUUACUGCAAGAUUUUAAGAAACAAAUUUAAUUGAUUUCCAAGUUAAGAAAUUAAACCUUGAAAACUAGACUAAAAAGUCAUCUGCACCUGACGUAACAGACUUUCUGCAGGAAGAAAACUCUAAGGAGAGCAUAUUGUCCAUUAUUAUAAAUAGUGAAAAUGAGAAAUCAUAGCAAGUCCCUUGAAAACCCUGCCCUGCCAGUCUUCUAAUAGGGCCUUGGUAUGGUUUUAUGUGUAUUUUCUUUUUGAAGUGUGCUCACCUUUUGA